GACGAACGCUGGCGGCGUGCUUAACACAUGCAAGUCGAACGGAAAGGCCCUGCUUUUGUGGGGUGCUCGAGUGGCGAACGGGUGAGUAACACGUGAGUAACCUGCCCUUGACUUUGGGAUAACUUCAGGAAACUGGGGCUAAUACCGGAUAGGAGCUCCUGCUGCAUGGUGGGGGUUGGAAAGUUUCGGCGGUUGGGGAUGGACUCGCGGCUUAUCAGCUUGUUGGUGGGGUAGUGGCUUACCAAGGCUUUGACGGGUAGCCGGCCUGAGAGGGUGACCGGCCACAUUGGGACUGAGAUACGGCCCAGACUCCUACGGGAGGCAGCAGUGGGGAAUAUUGCACAAUGGGCGGAAGCCUGAUGCAGCAACGCCGCGUGCGGGAUGACGGCCUUCGGGUUGUAAACCGCUUUCGCCUGUGACGAAGCGUGAGUGACGGUAAUGGGUAAAGAAGCACCGGCUAACUACGUGCCAGCAGCCGCGGUGAUACGUAGGGUGCGAGCGUUGUCCGGAUUUAUUGGGCGUAAAGGGCUCGUAGGUGGUUGAUCGCGUCGGAAGUGUAAUCUUGGGGCUUAACCCUGAGCGUGCUUUCGAUACGGGUUGACUUGAGGAAGGUAGGGGAGAAUGGAAUUCCUGGUGGAGCGGUGGAAUGCGCAGAUAUCAGGAGGAACACCAGUGGCGAAGGCGGUUCUCUGGGCCUUUCCUGACGCUGAGGAGCGAAAGCGUGGGGAGCGAACAGGCUUAGAUACCCUGGUAGUCCACGCUGUAAACGGUGGGUACUAGGUGUGGGGUCCAUUCCACGGGUUCCGUGCCGUAGCUAACGCUUUAAGUACCCCGCCUGGGGAGUACGGCCGCAAGGCUAAAACUCAAAGGAAUUGACGGGGCCCCGCACAAGCGGCGGAGCAUGCGGAUUAAUUCGAUGCAACGCGUAGAACCUUACCUGGGUUUGACAUGGAUCGGGAGCGCUCAGAGAUGGGUGUGCCUCUUUUGGGGUCGGUUCACAGGUGGUGCAUGCCUGUCGUCAGCUCGUGUCGUGAGAUGUUGGGUUAAGUCCCGCAACGAGCGCAACCCUUGUUCACUGUUGCCAGCACGUUAUGGUGGGGACUCAGUGGAGACCGCCGGGGUCAACUCGGAGGAAGGUGGGGAUGACGUCAAGUCAUCAUGCCCCUUAUGUCCAGGGCUUCACGCAUGCUACAAUGGCUGGUACAGAGAGUGGCGAGCCUGUGAGGGUGAGCGAAUCUCGGAAAGCCGGUCUCAGUUCGGAUUGGGGUCUGCAACUCGACCUCAUGAAGUCGGAGUCGCUAGUAAUCGCAGAUCAGCAACGCUGCGGUGAAUACGUUCCCGGG
rnacentral:rRNA from 1 species